rnacentral:rRNA from 1 species
GACGAACGCUGGCGGCGUGCCUAAUACAUGCAAGUAGGACGCACAGUUUAUACCGUAGCUUGCUACACCAUAGACUGUGAGUUGCGAACGGGUGAGUAACGCGUAGGUAACCUGCCUAUUAGAGGGGGAUAACUAUUGGAAACGAUAGCUAAUACCGCAUAACAGUAUGUAACACAUGUUAGAUGCUUGAAAGAUGCAAUUGCAUCGCUAGUAGAUGGACCUGCGUUGUAUUAGCUAGUAGGUAGGGUAAUGGCCUACCUAGGCGACGAUACAUAGCCGACCUGAGAGGGUGAUCGGCCACACUGGGACUGAGACACGGCCCAGACUCCUACGGGAGGCAGCAGUAGGGAAUCUUCGGCAAUGGGGGGAACCCUGACCGAGCAACGCCGCGUGAGUGAAGAAGGUUUUCGGAUCGUAAAGCUCUGUUGUUAAGGAAGAACGAGUGUGAGAAUGGAAAGUUCAUACUGUGACGGUACUAA